rnacentral:tRNA from 1 species
GGGAAUGUAGCUCAGUGGUGGAGCACUUACCUGACAGGCAUGAGGCUCUGGGUUCCAUCCCUAGCACCA